AUGGAAAAAAGCAAGCCCCCAGAGCCCAGUCAAACUAUUUGUAUGUCUAGAGAAGAGUUUGUGCAGAGGAUGACAGAGAUUGUUGGUUGGGGCACAAAGGAAGAAUAUGGAGAGCUCUUUGAUAAAGUGGAUGUGGCCCAAGAGGGCUUCAUUAAUUGGGACAAGCUGACUUCGUUUCUGCUGUUAACACUUUACGAGAAAGAUGAACAAGCAAAGGCAACUGUGGUUCCCCAAUGGAGAGACCUUGAAUUUCUCCCAGUGAAACACAAGGAUACCAUCCAAAGAGUAAUUUUCUUAAAAAGUUCAAGUCGUUAUCUGACCAUCAGUAAGGAAGGUUCAGUAGGAAUCUGGGGAGAGAAUUUAAAGCUGCAAGAGACGCUUCCCAUCACUUCAGACGCCACCAAGCUAAAGCACCUGUGGGUGACAAGUAUGGUUUCUCUGGAAAAUGUAAACAAGAUAGCAGUGGCUUUUACAAGCAAAGAGAUUUGUUUCUAUGAUCUACUGUCCAAAGAAGAAUUUCCUUGUCAAUAUAAACUCCAAGGCCUGAAAGGAACACCAAUUUGUAUGGAUUAUUGGUAUAACCCUCUUGAUGCCAAUGAGUCAAUUCUUUCUUUUGGGGACAUAACUGGAAAGGUUCAAGUAAUUGCUUUCACAACGGCCUUGAUUUCCCUUUUUGAGCAUCCUGCUGGUGCAUGUGAAGAUGAAGAAGCAACAGUGACCAUUAACUGGGCAGAGCUGCGCCCUGGACAUCACAAAUGUUGCUAUACAUUAGGGCACAAACUUCAUCAUGGAGACUGGGUCAGACAAGCAACUGCUGGCAUUGACAACAAAGUUUGCCUUUGGAACCCCUAUGUUGUCUCUAAGCCAGUUGGUGUACUUUGGGGUCACUCAGCCAGUGUGAUAGCUGUCCAGUUCUUUGCUGUAAGAAAACAACUUUUCAGUUUCUCCAGAGAUAAGGUUUUGAGACUCUGGGAUAUUCAGCAUCAACUGUCCAUCCAGAGGAUCUCUUGCUUUUUCCCCAAGAGUCAGGACUUCAGGUGUCUCUUCCACUUUGAUGAAGCCCAUGGACGACUCUUCAUCUCGUUCAAUAACCAGCUAGCUUUGCUGGCAAUGAAAAGUGAAGCCGGCAAGAGGGUGACAAGCCACAAGAAGGCAGUCACUUGUGUACUUUACAAUUCAGUCUUGAAGCAGGUAAUCAGCUCUGAUGUGGGGUCGACCGUUUCCUUCUGGAUGAUAGACACUGGGCAGAAAAUCAAACAGUUUACCGGUUGCCAUGGCAACGCAGAAAUCAGCACGAUGGCCCUAGAUGCAAAUGAGACGCGGCUUUUGACUGGCAGCACAGAUGGGACCGUAAAGGUCUGGGACCUCAACGGCUGUUGUCACCACACACUCAAUGUUGGGCAAGCGGGAGCUGUGGAUAUUUCACACAUCCUGGUUCUUAAGAAGACAAUCCUAGUUACAGGCUGGGACAGGUCUAUUACUGUGUUUCGACCUCAGAACUUCAAUCAGUUUUCCAUCCAGCCAGAAGAAUGGAAGGGAGGCAUUCAACACCAUGAUGAUAUAUUAUGCGCUGCAUUUUCACCCCCACAAACUCUUGUUACAGGGAGUUAUGAUGGAGAAAUUGUUCUGUGGAACAACAGCACAGAAAAUGCUCACUAUGUCCUUCACCCUGAUUACCAGAGGCUGCUAAAAUCAAAAUCGGAUGCAGGGCCUCAAAAGCUUCUUGGUGCUGGGAGGAGCCCCUCUACCCACCCCACAUAUGACCAGGCUACCCUGAGAUCCUGUUCCUUUGAGAUGGACACUGAGUGCAAUCAUGCUGUUAUGAGGCUUUGCUUCCUUGAGGCAAGAAAAAACAUCACAGGGACAGGGGGAGCCAACCUGGUAUCAUGUGGAGGAUCUGGGUAUGUCAGAUUCUGGGAUACAUUUAAGAAGCAACUUUUGGCUGAAUUUUUGGCUCAUAGUGGAGUUGGUUCUAUUAUUAUGUCUACUGAUAAAUCAAAUCGAUACCUCGCCACAGGAGAUCUGGAGGGGUGGUUAAAAAUCUGGAAUAUAGAGGAGUACUGUCUUAAUCCCAGCAAGAACAAACUCACACAGGCCCCAACUCUGAUAAGAUCGUUCCGGCCUCAUGAAGACUGGAUAAGCUCCUUAGAGAUGUGUGAGCUGGGCAGCCGCUCACUGAUUCUCUCCGCCUCUGCAGACUGCAGCGUUCGUGUGACUGAUGUCUGUGGUGUUCCUGUCCAGAUCUUUGGUCAGGAAAAGCAUUGGCAACUUGAAAACUGUUUUUCUGUUCCUAAAAGAGACACUAAUUUAAUGGGAAAUAAGAUUCAAGAGAAAAGCAUAAAGGAAAUUCCUUUAUUUUCUAAGGAGGAAUCAUGUUUAGAUCCAUCAAAACAUUCGCUACUUGAUAAGAAAACACACAGUGUCAGACCUUCAGAAGUCAUAAACUCAGGUGUGAAAUAUAUGGAAAGAAAUGUUUAUAAGAAAAAAACACAUGACCUUUACAAUGGUGGAAUUAUACAAAAAUCAUGCAGCAGUUUUAGGUCAUUAAGCAUUGGAACGUUGAAAGAGCUACCUGAAGUGAAUAAACCAGCUUUUCUUCUAGACCCUGAGAAAUACUUUAGGGAAGGCCCAGAGGAGCAGUGUCCCCAAAUUCCAGAGUUUCCAUCACUUUCUGAAACAUUGAAAGCAAUAUUUGAUGAGAAAAACCUGUUUCCCAAAGAAAUUCUGGAUCAUGAAAGAAGAGCCAAGCAGUUAUGUCAAGAAACAAAUAGUGAAGUGAAGAUAAAAAGAAAUAAGAAACCAUUGUAA
rnacentral:lncRNA from 1 species